GACCGCGUAGCUCAGUUGGAAGAGCAUUGGCUAGUAUUCCAAAGGUCGUAGGUUCGAAUCCCACCGUGGCCG
rnacentral:tRNA from 1 species